UACAGAGGGGGCAAGCGUUGUUCGGAAUUACUGGGCGUAAAGGGCGCGUAGGCGGCCUGUUAAGUCGAACGUGAAAUCCCUGGGCUCAACCCAGGAACUGCGUCCGAUACUGGCAGGCUUGAAUUCGGGAGAGGGAUGCGGAAUUCCAGGUGUAGCGGUGAAAUGCGUAGAUAUCUGGAGGAACACCGGUGGCGAAGGCGGCCAUCUGGGACAACACUGACGCUGAAGCACGAAAGCGUGGGGAGCAAACAGG
rnacentral:rRNA from 1 species